rnacentral:misc_RNA from 1 species
UCCAGUGGGUACACACCGCCCGUCGCUACUACCGAUUGAAUGGUUUAGUGAGGACUCCUGAUUGGCGCCGCCGCCCCGGCAACGGAGCAGCGGACUGCCGAACAGUUGUUCAAACUUGAUCAUUUAGAGGAAGUAAAAGUCGUAACAAGGUUUCCGUAGGUGAACCUGCAGAAGGAUCAUUGAUCCUUCUGCAGGUUCACCUACAGCUACCUUGUUACGACUUCACCCCAGUCCUUAACUUCAUAAUAAAUAAGUUAAAAAACAACGUUAAUUUUAGAAAAAGAAUAAUAAAAAAAAGGUUAUUUUUACUUAAAAAAAAAUAAUAUUGUUUUUUAAAUAUUUUCAAAUGGAACCAAUUUCCAUGGCGU